AUGCAGAUUGCCGGACUCAACACCCUCGGCAUCUCAAUUGCGCGCAUCGACUAUGCUCCCUUGGGCCAGAACCCACCACAUACGCACCCCCGCGCCACUGAGAUCCUCACAGUGCUCGAGGGGACACUAUACGUUGGCUUUGUCACAUCCAACCUGCCCGCCCCAGCCAGAAACAAGUUCUUCUCGAAGGUGCUCAACAAAGGUGAUGUGUUUGUCUUCCCCGUGGGGCUCAUCCACUUCCAAUUCAACCCCAACCCCCAUCAGCCCGCCGUUGCAAUUGCCGCGCUCAGCAGCCAGAACCCAGGGGCUAUCACAAUUGCCAAUGCAGUGUUUGGGUCAGACCCACCAAUAUCCGAUGAUGUUCUUGCCAAGGCGUUUCAGGUGGAAAAGAAUACAAUAGACUGGCUCCAGGCUCAGUUCUGGGAGAACAACCACAACUAA
rnacentral:rRNA from 1 species